rnacentral:rRNA from 1 species
AUUGAACGCUGGCGGCAGGCUUAACACAUGCAAGUCGAGCGGUAACAGGAGAAGCUUGCUUCUCGCUGACGAGCGGCGGACGGGUGAGUAAUACUUAGGAAUCUACCUAGUAGUGGGGGAUAGCACGGGGAAACUCGUAUUAAUACCGCAUACGACCUACGGGAGAAAGGGGGCAGUUUACUGCUCUCGCUAUUAGAUGAGCCUAAGUCGGAUUAGCUAGAUGGUGGGGUAAAGGCCUACCAUGGCGACGAUCUGUAGCUGGUCUGAGAGGAUGAUCAGCCACACCGGGACUGAGACACGGCCCGGACUCCUACGGGAGGCAGCAGUGGGGAAUAUUGGACAAUGGGGGAAACCCUGAUCCAGCCAUGCCGCGUGUGUGAAGAAGGCCUUUUGGUUGUAAAGCACUUUAAGCAGUGAAGAAGACUCCAUGGUUAAUACCCAUGGACGAUGACAUUAGCUGCAGAAUAAGCACCGGCUAACUCUGUGCCAGCAGCCGCGGUAAUACAGAGGGUGCAAGCGUUAAUCGGAAUUACUGGGCGUAAAGGGAGCGUAGGUGGCUCUAUAAGUCAGAUGUGAAAUCCCCGGGCUUAACCUGGGAACUGCAUCUGAAACUGUAGAGCUAGAGUAUGUGAGAGGAAGGUAGAAUUCCAGGCGUAGCGGUGAAAUGCGUAGAGAUCUGGAGGAAUACCGAUGGCGAAGGCAGCCUUCUGGCAUAAUACUGACACUGAGGCUCGAAAGCGUGGGUAGCAAACAGG